UACGAAGGGGGGCUAGCGUUGCUCGGAAUCACUGGGCGUAAAGCGCACGUAGGCGGCUUUCUAAGUCAGGGGUGAAAUCCUGGAGCUCAACUCCAGAACUGCCUUUGAUACUGGGGAGCUCGAGUCCGGGAGAGGUGAGUGGAACUGCGAGUGUAGAGGUGAAAUUCGUAGAUAUUCGCAAGAACACCAGUGGCGAAGGCGGCUCACUGGCCCGGUACUGACGCUGAGGUGCGAAAGCGUGGGGGAGCAAACAGGG
rnacentral:rRNA from 1 species